CCUGACGGGUACUUUCCAUUCGCCAGAUGGGGGAAGCCAGGGGGAAUCAGGUUACUGUUUUUGCAUUUCUAUCUUCAAGGAAGAAUUAGGUUAUGAAUAGUUCCGUGAAUAGUCAGGAAGCGCUGUCCUCCAAGUUCAAGAUUAAGGAAACGUGGCAUGCACAGCUAAAGCAAGAGGUGACGUCUUGUAUCUUCCCCCGUUUCCUGGGACAUUGGUGGUGUAGCCCAUUCCACAGACUUUCGCUCCCUAGCAGCGGGUCGGAGAUCGAAGGAACGGGCCAAUUGCGGCUGAAACGUCUUUGGAAGGAGGAAGGGGGUGAGGGAGCAUCCCUUUGAGUUUCGCCUCUUCUCGAGGCGGUGGUGGGAAGGGAGACAUACUUAAUACUGCCCUCUUAAUCCAACGGAUCUUACAUCGUGUAGACUGCCGGGAGGGCGGCGGGAAAAGGGCAAGACGGGAGUUAGGGAAGGGAAGGAGCCAGGAAGCCGCGCGGGAGGGCGCGCGCGCGCGCCCCUUUUUCAGCAGUGUGGCGGGGUCGCACGCACGCCCGCCUCGGCGGCUGGGCGCGAUUUGCGACAGUGGGGGGGGCGGUGGAGGUGGCGGCGGCAGUGGCAAUUUUGCGGCAAGCUCGGGCCGGGCUUGCUUGACGGCGGUGUGGCGGAGGCCCCGCCCCAGGCGGCAGGAACCUGGAGGGAGGCGGAGGAAUAUGUCCGAGAGGGAAGUGUCGACUGCGCCGGCGGGAACAGACAUGCCUGCGGCCAAGAAGCAGAAGCUGAGCAGUGACGAGAACAGCAAUCCAGACCUCUCUGGAGACGAGAAUGAUGACGCUGUCAGUAUAGAAAGUGGUACAAACACUGAACGCCCUGAUACACCUACAAACACGCCAAAUGCACCUGGAAGGAAAAGUUGGGGAAAGGGAAAAUGGAAGUCAAAGAAAUGCAAAUAUUCUUUCAAAUGUGUAAAUAGUCUCAAGGAAGAUCAUAACCAACCAUUGUUUGGAGUUCAGUUUAACUGGCACAGUAAAGAAGGAGAUCCAUUAGUGUUUGCAACUGUAGGAAGCAACAGAGUGAGUGUUAAGGUUACCUUGUAUGAAUGUCAUUCACAAGGAGAAAUCCGGUUGUUGCAAUCUUACGUGGAUGCUGAUGCUGAUGAAAACUUUUACACUUGUGCAUGGACCUAUGAUAGCAAUACGAGCCAUCCUCUGCUGGCUGUAGCUGGAUCUAGAGGCAUAAUUAGGAUAAUAAAUCCUAUAACAAUGCAGUGUAUAAAGCACUAUGUUGGCCAUGGAAAUGCUAUCAAUGAGCUGAAAUUCCACCCAAGAGAUCCAAAUCUUCUCCUGUCAGUAAGUAAAGAUCAUGCUUUACGAUUAUGGAAUAUCCAGACGGACACUCUGGUGGCAAUAUUUGGAGGCGUAGAAGGGCACAGAGAUGAAGUUCUAAGUGCUGAUUAUGAUCUUUUGGGUGAAAAAAUAAUGUCCUGUGGUAUGGAUCAUUCUCUUAAACUUUGGAGGAUCAAUUCAAAGAGAAUGAUGAAUGCAAUUAAGGAAUCUUAUGAUUAUAAUCCAAAUAAAACUAACAGGCCAUUUAUUUCUCAGAAAAUCCAUUUUCCUGAUUUUUCUACCAGAGACAUACAUAGGAAUUAUGUUGAUUGUGUGCGAUGGUUAGGCGAUUUGAUACUUUCUAAGUCUUGUGAAAAUGCCAUUGUGUGCUGGAAACCUGGCAAGAUGGAAGAUGAUAUAGAUAAAAUUAAACCCAGUGAAUCUAAUGUGACUAUUCUUGGGCGAUUUGAUUACAGCCAGUGUGACAUUUGGUACAUGAGGUUUUCUAUGGAUUUCUGGCAAAAGGAGUAUAAGACCCAAAGAAAUAGCCAAGAGCACAGAGGCUGGAACUGAGCUUUUUCUGAAACAAGAAAGCUGUCUGAGGAUUCCUCCAAUGCUUUAGAACCUGGUAAUUUUAUUAAUUUGAUGUUUUUAAAAAUAUGUUUAUACAGAUGCUUGCAUUGGGCAAUCAAGUUGGCAAACUUUAUGUUUGGGAUUUAGAAGUAGAAGAUCCUCAUAAAGCCAAAUGUACAACACUGACUCAUCAUAAAUGUGGUGCUGCUAUUCGACAAACCAGUUUUAGCAGGGAUAGCAGCAUUCUUAUAGCUGUUUGUGAUGAUGCCAGUAUUUGGCGCUGGGAUCGACUUCGAUAAAAUACUUUUGCCUAAUCAAAAUUAGAGUGUGUUUGUUGUCUGUGUAAAAUAGAAUUAAUGUAUCUUGCUAGUAAGGGCACGUAGAGCAUUUAGAGUUGUCUUUCAGCAUUCAAUCAGGCUGAGCUGAAUGUAGUGAUGUUUACAUUGUUUACAUUCUUUGUACUGUCUUCCUGCUCAGACUCUACUGCUUUUAAUAAAAAUUUAUUUUUGUAAA